rnacentral:rRNA from 1 species
UGCAGUCGAACGGAGAAAGAGAAGGUUCGCCUUUCUUUCUUAGUGGCGCACGGGUGAGUAAUGUAUAGCUAACCUGCCCCUUGGUGGGGGACAACAGAUGGAAACGUCUGCUAAUACCCCAUACUCCUUCUUACUCUAAGGUAAGUCGGGAAAACUCCGGUGCCAAGGGAUGGGGCUGUAUCCUAUCAGCUUGUUGGUGAGGUAAUGGCUCACCAAGGCAAUGACGGGUAGCUGGUCUGAGAGGAUGAUCAGCCACACUGGAACUGAGACACGGUCCAGACUCCUACGGGAGGCAGCAGUGGGGAAUAUUGCACAAUGGGGGAAACCCUGAUGCAGCAACGCCGCGUGGAGGAUGACGCAUUUCGGUGUGUAAACUCCUUUUAUAGGGGAAGAUAAUGACGGUACCCUAUGAAUAAGCACCGGCUAACUCCGUGCC